AACGAACGCUGGCGGCAGGCUUAACACAUGCCAGUCGAGCGAGACCUUCGGGUCUAGCGGCGGACGGGUGAGUAACGCGUGGGAACGUGCCCUUCUCUACGGAAUAGCCCCGGGAAACUGGGAGUAAUACCGUAUACGCCCUUUGGGGGAAAGAUUUAUCGGAGAAGGAUCGGCCCGCGUUGGAUUAGGUAGUUGGUGGGGUAAUGGCCCACCAAGCCGACGAUCCAUAGCUGGUUUGAGAGGAUGAUCAGCCACACUGGGACUGAGACACGGCCCAGACUCCUGCGGGAGGCAGCAGUGGGGAAUCUUAGACAAUGGGGGCAACCCUGAUCUAGCCAUGCCGCGUGAGUGAUGAAGGCCUUAGGGUUGUAAAGCUCUUUCAGCUGGGAAGAUAAUGACGGUACCAGCAGAAGAAGCCCCGGCUAACUCCGUG
rnacentral:rRNA from 1 species